AAAUUGAAGAGUUUGAUCAUGGCUCAGAUUGAACGCUGGCGGCAGGCCUAACACAUGCAAGUCGAGCGGUAGCACAGAGAGCUUGCUCUCGGGUGACGAGCGGCGGACGGGUGAGUAAUGUCUGGGAAACUGCCUGAUGGAGGGGGAUAACUACUGGAAACGGUAGCUAAUACCGCAUAACGUCGCAAGACCAAAGUGGGGGACCUUCGGGCCUCAUGCCAUCAGAUGUGCCCAGAUGGGAUUAGCUAGUAGGUGGGGUAACGGCUCACCUAGGCGACGAUCCCUAGCUGGUCUGAGAGGAUGACCAGCCACACUGGAACUGAGACACGGUCCAGACUCCUACGGGAGGCAGCAGUGGGGAAUAUUGCACAAUGGGCGCAAGCCUGAUGCAGCCAUGCCGCGUGUAUGAAGAAGGCCUUCGGGUUGUAAAGUACUUUCAGCGGGGAGGAAGGCGUAAGGUUAAUAACCNNNNNNNNGACGUUACCCGCAGAAGAAGCACCGGCUAACUCCGUGCCAGCAGCCGCGGUAAUACGGAGGGUGCAAGCGUUAAUCGGAAUUACUGGGCGUAAAGCGCACGCAGGCGGUCUGUCAAGUCGGAUGUGAAAUCCCCGGGCUCAACCUGGGAACUGCAUUCGAAACUGGCAGGCUAGAGUCUUGUAGAGGGGGGUAGAAUUCCAGGUGUAGCGGUGAAAUGCGUAGAGAUCUGGAGGAAUACCGGUGGCGAAGGCGGCCCCCUGGACAAAGACUGACGCUCAGGUGCGAAAGCGUGGGGAGCAAACAGGAUUAGAUACCCUGGUAGUCCACGCCGUAAACGAUGUCGAUUUGGAGGUUGUGCCCUUGAGGCGUGGCUUCCGGAGCUAACGCGUUAAAUCGACCGCCUGGGGAGUACGGCCGCAAGGUUAAAACUCAAAUGAAUUGACGGGGGCCCGCACAAGCGGUGGAGCAUGUGGUUUAAUUCGAUGCAACGCGAAGAACCUUACCUGGUCUUGACAUCCACAGAACUUUCCAGAGAUGGAUUGGUGCCUUCGGGAACUGUGAGACAGGUGCUGCAUGGCUGUCGUCAGCUCGUGUUGUGAAAUGUUGGGUUAAGUCCCGCAACGAGCGCAACCCUUAUCCUUUGUUGCCAGCGGUCCGGCCGGGAACUCAAAGGAGACUGCCAGUGAUAAACUGGAGGAAGGUGGGGAUGACGUCAAGUCAUCAUGGCCCUUACGACCAGGGCUACACACGUGCUACAAUGGCAUAUACAAAGAGAAGCGACCUCGCGAGAGCAAGCGGACCUCAUAAAGUAUGUCGUAGUCCGGAUUGGAGUCUGCAACUCGACUCCAUGAAGUCGGAAUCGCUAGUAAUCGUAGAUCAGAAUGCUACGGUGAAUACGUUCCCGGGCCUUGUACACACCGCCCGUCACACCAUGGGAGUGGGUUGCAAAAGAAGUAGGUAGCUUAACCUUCGGGAGGGCGCUUACCACUUUGUGAUUCAUGACUGGGGUGAAGUCGUAACAAGGUAACCGUAGGGGAACCUGCGGUUGGAUCACCUCCUUA
rnacentral:rRNA from 1 species